UUAGGAAUUUUGGGCAAUGGGCGCAAGCCUGACCCAGCAACGCCGCGUGGGUGACGAAGGCCUUCGGGUUGUAAAGCCCUUUUUGAGGGGAAGAUGAUGACGGUACCCUCCGAAGAAGCACCGGCUAACUACGUGCCAGCAGCCGCGGUAAUACGUAGGGUGCGAGCGUUGCCCGGAUUUAUUGGGCGUAAAGGGCGCGUAGGCGGUGGUGCACGUCCGUUGUGAAAUCGCCCGGCUCAACUGGGCGGGGUCAGCGGAUACGGCACCACUUGAGCAAGCUAGGGGGCAAUGGAACUCCCGGUGUAGUGGUGGAAUGCGUAGAUAUCGGGAAGAACACCAGUGGCGAAGGCGGUUGCCUGGAGCUUUGCUGACGCUGAGGCGCGAAAGCGUGGGGAGCGAUCCGGAUUAGAUACCCCCGUAGUCC
rnacentral:rRNA from 1 species